UGAAAUAUAUUAUAGACAUCAAACAUAACAUAACUUAAUUUCUGGCAAGGAUUAUUUUACGAGGUUAUACUACCAGGAAAUAAUAAUAUAGUAGAGAGAAAAAAUUUCUAUACUUUCAUAUUUAGAAAAGGUAAUAUUGUUGUAAGCGCAGAAAAUAGAG